GACGAACCGUCCAAACGUUAUUCGGAUUUACUGGGCUUAAAGGGUGCGUAGGCGGCGCGGAAAGUCGGGUGUGAAAUCCCUCGGCUCAACCGAGGAACUGCGCCCAAAACUACCGUGCUCGAGGAAGAUAGAGGUGAGCGGAACUUAGGGUGGAGCGGUGAAAUGCGUUGAUAUCCUAAGGAACACCGGUGGCGAAAGCGGCUCACUGGAUCUUUUCUGACGCUGAGGCACGAAAGCUAGGGGAGCAAACGGG
rnacentral:rRNA from 1 species